rnacentral:rRNA from 1 species
AUUGAACGCUGGCGGCAUGCUUUACACAUGCAAGUCGAACGGAUCAGAGGGGCUCGCUCCUCUGGUUAGUGGCGAACGGGUGAGUAAUGCAUCGGAACGUACCGUGUAGUGGGGGAUAACCCGGCGAAAGUCGGAUUAAUACCGCAUACGAUCUACGAAUGACAGUGGGGGACCGCAAGGCCUCACGCUAUACGAGCGGCCGAUGUCGGAUUAGCUAGUUGGUAGGGUAAAGGCCUACCAAGGCAACGAUCCGUAGCGGGUCUGAGAGGAUGAUCCGCCACACUGGGACUGAGACACGGCCCAGACUCCUACGGGAGGCAGCAGUGGGGAAUUUUGGACAAUGGACGCAAGUCUGAUCCAGCCAUGCCGCGUGAGUGAAGAAGGCCUUCGGGUUGUAAAGCUCUUUUGUCAGGGAGCAAAUCCUGUUUCUUAAUACGGAACGGGGAUGAGAGUACCUGAAGAAUAAGGACCGGCUAACUACGUGCCAGCCGCCGCGGUAACAC